ACCCCUCCUCCCCUCUUUCUCAGGCGAUUUAUUUUUGCUCUAGGUUCCGCCGUCGAUGGCCAAUUUAGGCCAAUCCACGGCUGUUCUUCACCAGAUUUUUGAGGGGCUUUGUUCCCUGUCACGAGUUCUCACCACUUUCAGGGACGAGAAAUACUUUGCCGUGUUAUCGGCCAACACCAAUUUGGGAUUGAGUCAUAGUUCUCGUUGUUGUAUUGUGUGGUACUGAUACUAGUCUCAUGAACUUCUAUCUUAGAAAACUAACCACUAGACACUUAUCUGUUUCUCUCCCGUUUGGCGUUUGUAACAUUUCCAAUGUAGCCUGUAGAAGUUGCUUUAGCUACUUUUCCACCCUGUCUAGUGAUUUUCGUUUCGAAAGUCCCCAGAACUGCGUGAACGUGGCAGGAGAUUCUGAUAUUAAUGUUGUACUUGCUAGAAUAAAUCCUGGAAGCAGUGAGGCUGAGGUUGUCCAAUCAUUGCUUUCUGACCCGGAUUGUGAUUCCAUAAAGAUCACUGAUAACUUUGUUGGUAGGGUGCUUUAUCGGUUUAAAGAUGACUGGAAAUCUGCACUUGGUGUUUUUAGAUGGGCACAAUCACGUCCCGACUACAAGCCCUCACCGGAAUUGUACGAUAAGUUGGUGGAUAUACUGGGGAAGAUGAAGAAAAUGGAAAAGAUGCAUUCUUUGAUAGACGAAAUGCAUGCAGGCCAUCUUAUUUCUCUUAAUACAAUAGCCAAAGUUAUGAGAAGGUUUGCGGGUGCAGGAGAGUGGAAAGAAGCAGUGAGGACAUUUGAUGAGCUGGGAAAAUUCGGUUUGGAGAAGAAUACGGAAUCAAUGAAUUUGUUACUUGAUACUCUGUGCAAAGAAAAUAGAGUCCAACAGGCGCGUGAAAUCUUCUACGAGCUCAAGUUGCAUAUCCCACCAAAUGCAAACACGUUUAACAUUUUUAUUCAUGGUUGGUGCAAAGCUAAUCGGGUAGAAGAAGCGUACUGGACAAUUCAGGAGAUGAAAGGCAGUGGUUGUUGUCCAUGCGUCAUCAGCUACUCAACCAUUAUCAAGUCCUACUGCCAGCAAUUUAACUUCCAGAAAGUCUACGAGCUUCUCGAUGAAAUGCAAGGACAAGGAUGUCUACCAAAUGUUGUCACUUUCACCACCAUCAUGUGCUUCUUGAAAAAGUCAGGGGCAUUUGAGGAAGCCCUUAAGAUUGCUGAGAGGAUGAAAUCAGUUGGCUGUAAACCUGAUACACUUUUUUACAAUGCUCUGAUUCAUACAUUAGGCGUGGCACACCGAUUACAAGAAGCUACUCGUGUUUUGAAGGUUGAAAUGCCCAGAAAUGGUGUUCAACCCAAUACAUCGACUUACAAUACUAUCAUUGCCAUGUUUUGCCAUCAUUUGCAAGAGGAAAGAGCACUAGAAUUUUUAAGGGAUCUGGAAAGUUCACCAGUUUGUAAACCUGAUGUUCAGUCAUACUUUCCGCUGCUGAAGUUGUGGUUUAAAGUUGGAAAGUCAGAUGAAUUCCUGAAAAUAUUGGUGAAUGACAUUGUUAAUAAGCAUCAUCUAAGUCUUGACCUAUCAAGUUAUGCACUUCUUAUCCACGGUUUGUGCAGAGCAAAUAAAUGUGAAUGGGCCUAUCUUAUUUUUGAAGAUAUGAUCCGCCAAGAGAUUACUCCUCGAUACAAGACAUGCAGUGUAUUGCUGCAGGAAGUUAAAAAAAAGAAUAUGUAUGAUGCUGCUGAUCGGAUUGAAUUGUUCAUGAAGAAAAUGAAGACUGCCUGAACAUUUCCUGGAAACUAAUUUGAUGAUUCAUUUAUCAAGUAGCAAGUUUCUGUUCUUGUGUGCCUGCAGCUUUCCGCAGAUUGUUGAAUUUGAAAUGUUGAUUUCUUGAUCUGGCAUAACACUUAAAUCUGGGAAUAGUUGCUGUAGCUGUUGCUCCGGUUUGGACAGCACCGCUCAAGCUCUUGGUAUCAUUCUUCAUCUUCUGAAAACAAUAGAUCAUCUGAUAGUGUGCGAAAUACUGGUGCUGCUACGUUUAGGCAAGCUGUAGCAUUGAUAUUGGAUCGUGUGAUUUCUACUGAGUCACUUCCAGCCGGGAAAUUUUGUGUAACUAUAAUGCGCUCAUGCCUCAUGGUGAUUCAGCAACUUAAUAGAUGCCUAUUGGGUGGUCUGGCCUGUCUUUGCUCUUGAACAUACCUACUAUGUUAACUGUGUGUUAUGCUCCCUCUGUCUAUGCCUGUAUAUUUAGUCAUUAUUAGUAUUGCACCUACGCCAAUC